GACGAACGCUUGCGGCGUGCUUAACACAUGCAAGUCGAACUAUGAUGCUGGAGCUUGCUCCAGUUGAUUAGUGGCGAACGGGUGAGUAACACGUGAGCAAUCUGCCCUUGACUCUGGGAUAACUGCGGGAAACUGUAGCUAAUACCGGAUACUUUCACCGGAAGGCAUCUUCUGGUGCUGAAAGAAUUUCGGUCAGGGAGGAGCUCGCGGCGUAUCAGCUUGUUGGUGAGGUAACGGCUCACCAAGGCGACGACGGUUAACCGGCCUGAGAGGGGGACGGGUCACCCUGGGACUGAGACAACGCCCAGACUCCUACGGGAGGAAUGAGUGCGGAAUAUUGCACAAUGGGUGCAAGCCUGAUGCAGCAACGCCGCGUGAGUGAUGAAGUCCUUCGGGUAGUAAACCUCUUUUAGGAGGCAAGAAGCGAAAGUGACGGUACCUGCAGAAAAAGCACCGGCUAUCUACGUGCCAGAAGCUGCAGUAA
rnacentral:rRNA from 1 species